rnacentral:rRNA from 1 species
AUACGGAGGAUCCGAGCGUUAUCCGGAUUUAUUGGGUUUAAAGGGAGCGUAGGUGGAUUGUUAAGUCAGUUGUGAAAGUUUGCGGCUCAACCGUUAAAUUGCAGUUGAAACUGGCAGUCUUGAGUACAGUAGAGGUGGGCGGAAUUCGUGGUGUAGCGGUGAAAUGCUUAGAUAUCACGAAGAACUCCGAUUGCGAAGGCAGCUCACUAGACUGCAACUGACACUGAUGCUCGAAAGUGUGGGUAUCAAACAGGAUUAGAUACCCUGGUAGUCCACACAGUAAACGAUGAAUACUCGCUGUUUGCGAUAUACAGUAAGCGGCCAAGCGAAAGCAUUAAGUAUUCCACCUGGGGAGUACGCCGGCAACGGUGAAACUCAAAUGAAUUGACGGGG